AAUUCCAAAGACCAAAAAUAGUGAACAUUCAAUUGCCAAAACAUUGAAAAUGUUCCAUUGUCUCUGUCAGGUCCACGUUGGGUAGACAUCAAUAGAGAAACAGGAAAUUACUAUGAAAUUAUAUUUCAGUUGUGUAUAUUACUUAGUUUUUAUGUCAUGACUUUAUUCAUGUUCAUUCCUCAAAGUCAUCAUCUCUGCUCAGGCAAUAUCAGCCAGCCAGCCAGACCAUCUAGGUUAUCUCUGUGCUCUCCUUAAAGUCAUCAUCUCUGCUCAGGCAAUAUCAGCCAGACCAUCUAGGUUAUCUCUGUGCUCUCCUUAAAGUCAUCAUCUCUGCUCAGGCAAUAUCAGCCAGACCAUCUAGGUUAUCUCUGUGCUCUCCUUAAAGUCAUCAUCUCUGCUCAGGCAAUAUCAGCCAGACCAUCUAGGUUAUCUCUGUGCUCUCCUUAAAGUCAUCAUCUCUGCUCAGGCAAUAUCAGCCAGACCAUCUAGGUUAUCUCUGUGCUCUCCUUAAAGUCAUCAUCUCUGCUCAGGCAGUAUCAGCCAGACCAUCUAGGUUAUCUCUGUGCUCUCCUUAAAGUCAUCAUCUCUGCUCAGGCAAUAUCAGCCAGACCAUCUAGGUUAUCUCUGUGCUCUCCUUAAAGUCAUCAUCUCUGCUCAGGCAAUAUCAGCCAGACCAUCUAGGUUAUCUCUGUGCUCUCCUUAAAGUCAUCAUCUCUGCUCAGGCAGUAUCAGCCAGUCAGCCAGACCAUCUAGGUUAUCUCUGUGCUCUCCUUAAAGUCAUCAUCUCU